UAAAUACUCCCUCCAUCCGGAAAUACUUGUCAUCAAAAUGGAUAAAAGGAAAUGUAUCUAGACGUAUUUUAGUUUUAGAUACAUCUAUUUUUAUCCAUUUUGAUGACAAGUAUUUUUGGACGGAGGGAGUAGAAA
rnacentral:pre_miRNA from 1 species